rnacentral:rRNA from 1 species
GGUGAGUAACGCGUGGGUAACCUGCCUCAUACACAUGGAUAACAUACCGAAAGGUAUGCUAAUACAGGAUAAAAUAAGAGAUUCACAUGGAUUUCUUAUCAAAGCUCCGGCGGUAUGAGAUGGACCCGCGUCUGAUUAGCUAGUUGGUAAGGUAACGGCUUACCAAGGCGACGAUCAGUAGCCGACCUGAGAGGGUGAUCGGCCACAUUGGAACUGAGACACGGUCCAAACUCCUACGGGAGGCAGCAGUGGGGAAUAUUGCACAAUGGGCGAAAGCCUGAUGCAGCAACGCCGCGUGAGUGAUGAAGGCCUUCGGGUCGUAAAACUCUGUCCUCAAGGAAGAUAAUGACGGUACUUGAGGAGGAAGCCCCGGCUAACUACGUGCCAGCAGCCGCGGUAAUACGUAGGGGGCUAGCGUUAUCCGGAUUUACUGGGCGUAAAGGGUGCGUAGGUGGUUUCUUAAGUCAGGAGUGAAAGGCUACGGCUCAACCGUAGUAAGCUCUUGAAACUGGGGAACUUGAGUGCAGGAGAGGAAAGUGGAAUUCCUAGUGUAGCGGUGAAAUGCGUAGAUAUUAGGAGGAACACCAGUAGCGAAGGCGGCUUUCUGGACUGUAACUGACACUGAGGCACGAAAGCGUGGGGAGCAAACAGGAUUAGAUACCCUGGUAGUCCACGCCGUAAACGAUGAGUACUAGGUGUCGGGGGUUACCCCCCUCGGUGCCGCAGCUAACGCAUUAAGUACUCCGCCUGGGGAGUACGCUCGC